GUGUCAGCCGCCGCGGUAAUACAGAGGGGGCGAGCGUUAUUCGGAAUUAUUGGGCGUAAAGGGCGCGUAGGCGGCCUUGUAAGUCUUGGGUGAAAUCCCUCAGCUCAACUGAGGAACUGCCUCGGAUACUGCAGGGCUUGAGGCCGGGAGAGGGUAGUGGAAUUCCCAGUGUAGCGGUGAAAUGCGUAGAUAUUGGGAGGAACACCGGUGGCGAAGGCGGCUACCUGGACCGGUUCUGACGCUGAUGCGCGAAAGCGUGGGGAGCAAACAGGAUUAGAAACCCUCGUAGUCC
rnacentral:rRNA from 1 species